rnacentral:rRNA from 1 species
UACGUAGGGGGCAAGCGUUGUCCGGAUUUACUGGGUGUAAAGGGCGCGUAGGCUGGUUUGUUAGUCAGAGGUGAAAUCCUGCAGCUCAACUGUAGAAUUGCCUUUGAUACUGCAAGCCUUGAGUGCGGAAGAGAGAGACGGAAUUCCAGGUGUAGUAGUGAAAUACGUAGAUAUCUGGAAGAACACCAGAGGCGAAGGCGGUCUCUUGGUCCGUUACUGACGCUGAUGCGCGAAAGCGUGGGGAGCAAACAGGAUUAGAAACCCCAGUAGUCC